UACGUAGGGUGCAAGCGUUGUCCGGAAUUAUUGGGCGUAAAGAGCUCGUAGGUGGCCUGUCGCGUCGGCUGUGAAAACUCGGGGCUCAACUCCGAGCUUGCAGUCGAUACGGGCAGGCUAGAGUUCGGCAGGGGGAGACUGGAAUUCCUGGUGUAGCGGCGAAAUGCGCAGAUAUCAGGAGGAACACCGGUGGCGAAGGCGGGGUCUCUGGGGCCGAUACUGACACUGAGGAGCGAAAGCGUGGGGAGCGAACAGG
rnacentral:rRNA from 1 species